GUCGAAGGUAUACCGGUAAGGAGUGCUGGAGCGAAUAGAAGUGAGCAUGCAGGCAUGAGUAGCGAUAAUUAAUGUGAGAAUCAUUAACGCCGUAAACCCAAGGUUUCCUACGCGAUGCUCGUCAUCGUAGGGUUAGUCGGGUCCUAAGUCGAGUCCGAAAGGGGUAGACGAUGGCAAAUUGGUUAAUAUUCCAAUACCAACAUUAGUGUGCGAUGGAAGGACGCUUAGGGCUAAGGGGGCUAGCGGAUGGAAGUGCUAGUCUAAGGUCGUAGGAGGUUAUACAGGCAAAUCCGUAUAACAAUACUCCGAGAACUGAAAGGCUUUUUGAAGUCUUCGGAUGGAUAGAAGAACCCCUGAUGCCGUCGAGCCAAGAAAAGUUUCUAAGUUUAGCUAAUGUUGCCCGUACCGUAAACCGACACAGGUGGGUGGGAUGAGUAUUCUAAGGCGCGUGGAAGAACUCUCUUUAAGGAACUCUGCAAAAUAGCACCGUAUCUUCGGUAUAAGGUGUGGUUAGCUUUGUAUUAGGAUUUACUCCGAAAGCAAGGAAACUUACAACAAAGAGUCCCUCCCGACUGUUUACCAAAAACACAGCACUCUGCUAACUCGUAAGAGGAUGUAUAGGGUGUGACGCCUGCCCGGUGCUCGAAGGUUAAUUGAUGGGGUUAGCAUUAGCGAAGCUCUUGAUCGAAGCCCGAGUAAACGGCGGCCGUAACUAUAACGGUCCUAAGGUAGCGAAAUUCCUUGUCGGUUAAAUACCGACCUGCAUGAAUGGCGUAACGAGAUGGGAGCUGUCUCAAAGAGGGAUCCAGUGAAAUUGUAGUGGAGGUGAAAAUUCCUCCUACCCGCGGCAAGACGGAAAGACCCCGUGGACCUUUACUACAGCUUGACACUGCUACUUGGAUAAGAAUGUGCAGGAUAGGUGGGAGGCUUUGAGUAUAUGACGCCAGUUGUAUAUGAGCCAUUGUUGAGAUACCACUCUUUCUUAUUUGGGUAGCUAACCAGCUUGAGUUAUCCUCAAGUGGGACAAUGUCUGGUGGGUAGUUUGACUGGGGCGGUCGCCUCCCAAAUAAUAACGGAGGCUUACAAAGGUUGGCUCAGAACGGUUGGAAAUCGUUCGUAGAGUAUAAAGGUAUAAGCCAGCUUAACUGCAAGACAUACAAGUCAAGCAGAGACGAAAGUCGGUCUUAGUGAUCCGGUGGUUCUGUGUGGAAGGGCCAUCGCUCAAAGGAUAAAAGGUACCCCGGGGAUAACAGGCUGAUCUCCCCCAAGAGCUCACAUCGACGGGGAGGUUUGGCACCUCGAUGUCGGCUCAUCGCAUCCUGGGGCUGGAGCAGGUCCCAAGGGUAUGGCUGUUCGCCAUUUAAAGCGGUACGCGAGCUGGGUUCAGAACGUCGUGAGACAGUUCGGUCCCUAUCUGCCGUGGGCGUAAGAAGAUUGAAGAGAUUUGACCCUAGUACGAGAGGACCGGGUUGAACAAACCACUGGUGUAGCUGUUGUUCUGCCAAGAGCAUCGCAGCGUAGCUAAGUUUGGAAAGGAUAAACGCUGAAAGCAUCUAAGCGUGAAGCCAACUCUAAGAUGAAUCUUCUCUAAGCUCUCUAGAAGACUACUAGUUUGAUAGGCUGGGUGUGUAAUGGAUGAAAGUCCUUUAGCUGACCAGUACUAAUAGAGCGUUUGGCUUAUCUUUAAUAAAGCAU
rnacentral:rRNA from 1 species